AAAGCCCGGGCUUUUUCCACUGAGCCACGCUGCUUCUACUAUGAGCCCGCUGUUGCGUAGGGACCGUCUCUAUAAGAUGCCCCCUUCCCAUCUGGGCCCUCUUCCAGCGCCGGACCACUACCGUCCCGUGGGGAGAGUAAAUAUCUUGAGUUGGUGGGACGGGAACGAGACUGGUGGCAAUUUGAUCCCCUCCCUCCCUCCCUCCAUCCCUUCCUCUCCCUCUCCCCUCUGCCCGCCCUCUCCGCACUGGCUUUCUAAACCCCAGCCCCAGGCCCACAAGGCCAGUGCGACCCCAUUUUCGGGAGAAAGGGAAAUCCCCACCCAGGGGAGACCGCGGGGACGCGAGUCCCAGCCGGAGCUGGAAUCAGGGCUCGAUUUCACCCGCUCCACCCGCGCCACCACGCUGCCUCUUGUUCCAGAAAGGAAAAGUCGCCAAAGCCGCUGACCACCGUACGGGACUCGCCCUGCGCAGCUGCCCACGGCACGUCACUGCCUCUUGUUCUAGAAAGGAAAGACCCCCAAAGUCCUUCUGCAGGUUGCUACCCACCGCACAUCACUGCUUCUUGCUCUAGAAAGACCCCAAAGUCCUUCUGCAGGUUGCUACCCACCGCACAUCACUGCUUCUUGUUCUAGAAAGACCCCAAAGUCCUUCUGCAGGUUGUUACCCACCGCACAUCACUGCUUCUUCUUCUAGAAAGGAAAGACCCCCCAAAGUCCUUCUGCAGGUUGCUACCACCGCACAUCACCGCUUCUUGUUCUAGAAAGACCCCCAAAGUCCUUCUGCAGGUUGCUACCCACCGCACAUCACUGCUUCUUGUUUUAGAAAGACCCCAAAGUCCUUCUGCAGGUUGCGACCCACCGCCCAUCACUGCUUCUUGCUCUAGAAAGACCCCAAAUUCCUUCUGCAGGUUGCGACCCACCGCCCAUCACUGCUUCUUGUUCUAGAAAGGAAAGACCCCCCCAAAGUCCUUCUGCAGGUUGCUACCCACCGCACAUCGCUGCUUCUUGUUCUAGAAAGACCCUAAAGUCCUUCUGCAGGUUGCUACCCACUGCACAUCACUCCUUCUUGUUCUAGAAAGGAAAGACCCCCCAAAGUCCUUCUGCAGGUUGCUACCCACCGCACAUCACUGCUUCUUGUUCUAGAAAGACCCCAAAGUCCUUCUGUAGGUUGCUGCCCACCGCACAUCACUGCUUCUUGUUCUAGAAAGACCCCCAAAGUCCUUCUGCAGGUUGCUACCCACCGUACAUCACUGUUUCUUGUUCUAGAAAGACCCCCAAAGUCCUUCUGCAGGUUGCUACCCACCGCACAUCACUGCUUCUUGUUCUAGAAAGACCCCCAAAGUCCUUCUGCAGGUUGCUACCCACCACACAUCACUGCUUCUUGUUCUAGAAAGGAAAGACCCCAAAGUCCUUCUGCAGGUUGCUACCCCACCGCCCAUCACUGCUUCUUGUUCUAGAAAGACCCCAAAGUCCUUCUGCAGGUUGGUACCCACCGCACAUAACUGCUUCUUCUUCUAGAAAGGAAAGACCCCCCCCAAAGUCCUUCUGCAGGUUGCGACCCACCGCACAUCACUGCUUCUUGUUUUAGAAAGACCCCCAAAGUCCUUCUGCAAGUUGCUACCCACCGCCCAUCACUGCUUCUUGUUCUAGAAAGACCCCAAAGUCCUUCUGCAGGUUGCUACCCACUGCACAUCACUGCUUCUUGUUCUAGAAAGGAAAGACCCCCCAAAGUCCUUCUGCAGGUUGCUACCCACCGCACAUCACUGCUUCUUGUUUUAGAAAGACUCCAAAGUCCUUCUGCAGGUUGCUACCCACCGCACAUCACUGCUUCUUGUUUUAGAAAGACUCCAAAGUCCUUCUGCAGGUUGCUACCCACCGCACAUCACUGCUUCUUGUUCUAGAAAGGAAAGACCCCCAAAGUCCUUCUGCAGGUUGCUACCCACCGCACAUCACUGCUUCUUGUUCUAGAAAGACCCCAAAGUCAUUCUGCAGGUUGCUACCCACCGCACAUCACUGCUUCUUGUUCUAGAAAGACCCCAAAGUCCUUCUGCAGGUUACUACCCACCGCCCAUCACUGCUUCUUGUUCUAGAAAGACCCCAAAGUCCUUCUGCAGGUUGCUACCCACCGCACAUCACUGCUUCUUGUUCUAGAAAGGAAAGACCCCCAAAGUCCUUCUGCAGGUUGCUACCCAUCACACAUCAUUGCUGCUUGUUCUAGAAAGACCCCAAAGUCCUUCUGCAGGUUGCAACCCACUGCCCAUCACUGCUUCUUGUUCUAGAAAGACCCCAAAGUCCUUCUGCAGGCUGCGACCCACCGCCCAUCACUGCUUCUUGUUCUAGAAAGAAAAGUCCCCCAAAGUCCUUCUGCAGGUUGCUACCCACCGCCCAUCACUGCUUCUUGUUCUAGAAAGACCCCAAAGUCCUUCUGCAGGUUGCUACCCACUGCACAUCACUGCUUCUUGUUCUAGAAAGGAAAGACCCCCCAAAGUCCUUCUGCAGGUUGCUACCCACCGCACAUCACUGCUUCUUGUUUUAGAAAGACUCCAAAGUCCUUCUGCAGGUUGCUACCCACCGCACAUCACUGCUUCUUGUUUUAGAAAGACUCCAAAGUCCUUCUGCAGGUUGCUACCCACCGCACAUCACUGCUUCUUGUUCUAGAAAGGAAAGACCCCCAAAGUCCUUCUGCAGGUUGCUACCCACCGCACAUCACUGCUUCUUGUUCUAGAAAGACCCCAAAGUCCUUCUGCAGGUUGCUACCCACCGCACAUCACUGCUUCUUGUUCUAGAAAGACCCCAAAGUCCUUCUGCAGGUUACUACCCACCGCCCAUCACUGCUUCUUGUUCUAGAAAGACCCCAAAGUCCUUCUGCAGGUUGCUACCCACCGCACAUCACUGCUUCUUGUUCUAGAAAGGAAAGACCCCCAAAGUCCUUCUGCAGGUUGCUACCCAUCACACAUCAUUGCUGCUUGUUCUAGAAAGACCCCAAAGUCCUUCUGCAGGUUGCAACCCACUGCCCAUCACUGCUUCUUGUUCUAGAAAGACCCCAAAGUCCUUCUGCAGGCUGUGACCCACCGCCCAUCACUGCUUCUUGUUCUAGAAAGAAAAGUCCCCCAAAGUCCUUCUGCAGGUUGCUACCCACCGCCCAUCACUGCUUCUUGUUCUAGAAAGACCCCAAAGUCCUUCUGCAGGUUGCUACCCACUGCACAUCACUGCUUCUUGUUCUAGAAAGGAAAGACCCCCCCAAAGUCCUUCUGCAGGUUGCUACCCACCGCACAUCACUGCUUCUUGUUCUAGAAAGGAAAGUCCUGCAGGUUUCUACCCACCGCACAUCAUUCUAGAAAGGAAAGACCCCAAAGUCCCGCAGGUUGCUACCCACCGCACAUCAUUGCUUCUUGUUCUAGAAAGGAAAGUCCCCCAAAGUCCUUCUGCAGGUUGCUACCCCCUGCACAUCACUGCUUCUUGUUCUAGAAAGGAAAGACCCCCAAAGUCCUUCUGCAGGUUGCUACCCACCGCACAUCACUGCUUCUUGUUCUAAAAAGGAAAGACCCCCCAAAGUCCUGCAGGUUGCUACCCACCGCACAUCAUUCUAGAAAGGAAAAACCCCUAAAGUCCUGCAAUCAACCCAUUUAGGAGGUUGGUGAGAGGAAGGUCUUUCCCCCCCUAAACUGGUCGUUGUCGGCUCUCGGCUUCUUCAAAUUGGGCUUAAUCGCUCGUGGCUAAGAUCCCACCCCCACCCCCAAACCUGAACAGCAGCCUAUUUAACGUGAUUCUCAAAAUGUUUAUUUCUGUUGUCUUGUUUACUCAGAUGAUGUGAUUCACUAAUAAAAAUUAGUUUCUAAUAGGC